UAACACGUAGGGAACCUGCCCACGCACCGGGAAUACGCUCUGGAAACGGAGAACAAAUCCCGAUGUACAGGAAGGAGGCAUCUUCUUUCUGUGAAACAUCCUUUAGGGGAUGGGGCGCGGAUGGACCUGCGGUGCAUUAGUUGGUUGGCGGGGUAAAGGCCCACCAAGACGAUGAUGCAUAGCCGGCCUGAGAGGACGGACGGCCACAUUGGGACUGAGACACGGCCCAGACUCCUGCGGGAGGCAGCAGUAGGGAAUUUUCGUCAAUGGGCGCAAGCCUGAACGAGCGAUGCCGCGUGAGUGAAGAAGGCCUUCGGGUCGUAAAGCUCUGUUGCGGGGGAAAAAAGGCAGCAUCAGGAAAUGGGUGCUGACUGAUGGUGCCCCGCCAGAAAGUCACGGCUAACUACGUGCCAGCAGCCGCGGUAAUACGUAGGUGGCGAGCGUUAUCCGGAAUGAUUGGGCGUAAAGGGUGCGCAGGCGGUCCUGCAAGUCUGGAGUGAAACGCAUGAGCUCAACUCAUGCAUGGCUUUGGAAACUGGAGGACUGGAGAGCAGGAGAGGGCGGUGGAACUCCAUGUGUAGCGGUAAAAUGCGUAGAUAUAUGGAAGAACACCAGUGGCGAAGGCGGCCGCCUGGCCUGUUGCUGACGCUGAGGCACGAAAGCGUGGGGAGCAAAUAGGAUUAGAUACCCUAGUAGUCCACGCCGUAAACGAUGAGGACCAAGUGU
rnacentral:rRNA from 1 species